rnacentral:misc_RNA from 1 species
GCAAACUUGGUCAUUUAGAGGAAGUAAAAGUCGUAACAAGGUUUCCGUAGGUGAACCUGCGGAAGGAUCAUUAACACGUCCACACGUAUCAACCCUCGCGAAUCUGUUUUCGUCGGUCCUGACGACUUGGAGUUGAUGAAUGCUGUCACGGUUGGAGAAGAGAGCAUUAGAGGUGCGGCCUCGCUUGCUUUCUUCUACAGCGAUCAUCACUAUAACUCUUUGUUGUUACUCUACUGGACCGUUUACCUUCAUGCUCCACCGUCAUGUAACUUAUUUUUAACCCCUUGUACUUAUUGUACUGAACUUCUUUUCGUGUUCUUUCGCUUAGUGUUGAUGCACUCUUGCGAUUGAAUCGAAAAUAUACGAAACAAAGAACAACUCUUAGCAACGGAUAUCUUGGUUUCCACAUCGAUGAAGAACGCAGC